UACGAAGGGGGCUAGCGUUGCUCGGAAUCACUGGGCGUAAAGCGCACGUAGGCGGAUUGCUAAGUCAGGGGUGAAAUCCUGGAGCUCAACUCCAGAACUGCCCUUGAUACUGGCGGUCUCGAGUCCGGGAGAGGUGAGUGGAACUGCGAGUGUAGAGGUGAAGUUCGUAGAUAUUCGCAAGAACACCAGUGGCGAAGGCGGCUCACUGGCCCGGUACUGACGCUGAGGUGCGAAAGCGUGGGGAGCAAACAGG
rnacentral:rRNA from 1 species